rnacentral:tRNA from 1 species
AAAUAAGAAGCAAACAUUGCAUUUAGUUUCGACCUAAAAAUAUGAUAACAAGUUAUCCUUAUUUA